rnacentral:rRNA from 1 species
UGAGGAAUCUUGCGCAAUGGGGGAAACCCUGACGCAGCAACGCCGCGUGAGUGAGGAAGGUCUUCGGAUCGUAAAGCUCUGUCGGGUGGAAAGAAAUGUAUGGGGUGAAUAGCCUUCAUACUUGACGGUACCACCAAAGGAAGCACCGGCUAACUCCGUGCCAGCAGCCGCGGUAAUACGGGGGGUGCAAGCGUUGUUCGGAAUUAUUGGGCGUAAAGAGCGUGUAGGCGGCUUGUCAAGUCAGAGGUGAAAGCCCUGGGCUUAACCCAGGAAGUGCAU